rnacentral:rRNA from 1 species
CCUACGGGGGGCUGCAGUGAGGAAUAUUGGUCAAUGGCCGGAAGUCUGAACCAGCCAAGCCGCGUGAAGGACGAAGGUGCCAAGCAUUGUAAACUUCUUUUGUCAAGGGACAAAAUCAGGCUCGAGAGCCUGACCGAGGGUACUUGAAGAAAAAGCAUCGGCUAACUCCGUGCCAGCAGCCGCGGUAAUACGGAGGAUGCGAGCGUUAUCCGGAUUUAUUGGGUUUAAAGGGUGCGUAGGGGGGCUGUUAAGUCAGCGGUAAAAGCCCGGGGCUCAACCCCGGCGAGCCGUUGAAACUGGCUGUCUUGAGAUGUCGAGAGGUAUGCGGAAUGCGCAGUGUAGCGGUGAAAUGCUUAGAUAUUGCGCAGAACUCCGAUUGCGAAGGCAGCAUACCGGCGGCGAUCUGACGCUGAGGCACGAAAGCGUGGGUAUCGAACAGGAUUAGAUACCCUGGUAGUC